rnacentral:rRNA from 1 species
CAAUAGCGUAUAUUUAAGUUGCUGCAGUUAAAAAGCUCGUAGUUGGAUUUCGGGUGGGAAUGGCCGGUCCGCCGUUUCGGUGUGCACUUGCUACGCCCACCUUGCUGCCGGGGACGUGCUCUUGAGUUCACGCUCGGGACACGGAGUCGGCGAGGUUACUUUGAGUAAAUUAGAGUGUUCAAAGCAGGCCUACGCUCUGAAUACAUUAGCAUGGAAUAACACGAUAGGACUCUGGCCUAUCUUGUUGGUCUGUAGGACCGGAGUAAUGAUUAAGAGGGACAGUCGGGGGCAUUCGUAUUUCAUUGUCAGAGGUGAAAUUCUUGGAUUUAUGAAAGACGAACUACUGCGAAAGCAUUUGCCAGGGAUGUUUUCAUUAA